GAACAUGUAAUAUUUCAUCCUUAUUUUAGAAAUUUAUGAGUUGAUGAUUAUCAAUUAUUAAUUGUGUAUAUAUAUAUAUAAGCGAUUUCAUAUUAUAAUAUUUGAUAUAUUUUGUAUAUUUCAGCUAUAUAAGUGAUUGUCAGAUUGUGACCGCUGCCUUGGAAUUUGUUACACUACAUGGCCAGGAAAUCUUACAGAAAAAUCUCUAUCAAAACUUUAUACUACACAUGGUCAAUCUGUUUGACUUUAGUCUGAUCAAACCUGAAGAAGUACAGAAAAUAUUGACUAAACUAGAGGAAAUCAAAACAAGCAUGUCAUAAUGUCAGAUGUCAUUUCAUAUUUAUAUCAUUGCUUAACUGUUAUCUUGUUAAACAGUUAUUUUAUGUUCAAUGAAUUUUGUAAUUAGUUAAGAUUUAAAAGAUGGCUUGUUUUGGAGUUCAAAAUAGACUUGUUUUGAAAUUGGCUCCUACUUUCUUCAAAUUUAGAAUUUGAUCCUCUGCCAUGUUAGUUGUGCCUGUAUUUAUUUCUAUUGUAUGCAUAUUAAAGCUUUGUAGUUGUGGAUGUAUUUAAAGUAACCAUAAUGGUUUAAAAUAACGCACCUGACAUAGGUCAGCUAAAAAAUGUACUCUCUAUCUAUUUGCUUUUACAUAUUUUUGUAUUGUGAAGAAACCUUCCUUCUCUGACAGCAAUAUCAUGAUAUUAUUGAACUUACUUAAAGCAAUCAUCAAAAAUUAGUUUGGUUUUAUAGUUUUGUAGGUCAGUUUAGCACUACAUUUAUAUUUGUGAUUCUUCAAUCUCUUAAAAAAUUUAGAUACUUAUUUAUAGUUUUCUCCAAAAAAUAUCAGGAAUUAUGAAAAGGUUUAAAAUAUAUGAAGUUCAAUCAUUAUAUUAGCAUCAUAAUCUCAGGAUGAAUUAUGCUCAAUACAUAUUUUGCCUUAAGUUCCCCAUGGAUAAUUGUGUUCAUUAGGAAUGGAAAAUAGGUUUGUCUGAAGAUAUUCCAGGGAGACAACUUGUUUUGAUAAAAACAUUAUUUACAUGAAGAAAUUGCAUUAUAUAUAUUUUCCUUAGAACAUUUUCUGCUUUGUCUGUAUCAAGCAUGGAAGAAGAUUGUCUCAUAUGUAUUUGUUUAAAAAGUUCCAUUUUUCAGAAACUUUUUUAAGCAUAUCAAGGAUAUUUAAACGCAACUCGUAACAUUUAAAAGAACAAGUGUUUUAGUCCUUCAUGCAAAUAAUGCUAUUCAAGUUGAAAUAAUUUUGAUUAAAAAAACAAAAUUCAGUCAAGUAUGUAGUACAGUAUGACAAAAGAUCUUAAUGUCAUUGUAUUAUUAGUAUUUAUGUUGGUCAGUGUAUUUAACAUGACUUCUUUGGAGGGAAAAUUUCAGCAGACUCACCCAAUUCUUUUCUUGUCAUGAAAUGCAUGAAAUAUUUGCCACUGGACUUUAAGCAUCCAAUAUUCAAUCUCUAUUCUUUUCAGGGUCAGAUUCACAUAAAGGUGUACAUCUAACACAAACAAAUCAAUAAUUAAAUUGUGCAAUAAUUUUAAUAAAACAGUGUUCUGAAAUGUCUUCACACAGAAAGUGGAAUGUCAUGUGUGAUAUAGGUUACCUUUUCUUAUCCUGGAUUAUUAGGGUAAAUUAGUCUUACAACUUAUUUUGAAUACAUGUCAGCCAUAUUGUUCCAUAAAUUUUUAAAUUGUGAUAUGUAUGUAUGUGCAGCUGAAUAAUUGUAAUAAAAGUAAUGUUUUGUGUUAAAUGACUUUGUGUACUGUAGUCUAUCCUUUGGAUCAAUGAGAAUGAUACAUUCAAGCUAACAGUAUAUAAAUUAGCUGUGAGCUGAUUUCAAAUGAGAUAACUUUCCAACAGAAACCAAAUAAGAACAGAAAGAUCAUCAGCAAUGAGCAAAGCACUUUACCUCAUAGCAAGCUUUAAAAAGCCAUGACUGGUCAAAUGUAAAACAAUGCAAAACAAUAAACUAGAGGCUCUCAAGAGUGUUAUCUAUAUCUAUAAUAAUAU
rnacentral:lncRNA from 1 species